UGCACCUGCUGCAACGAAUACACAUUUUCCUUACCAUUCGCCGUCCAUUUACGAAUUGAACCGCUCCAAUUUUGUUCAUUGACUUGUGCCGCAAUCGAUUUUGUUGAAACCGAACGAAUCCAAAGGCAAGCGUAACCUACUUUCCGCUGAUAAGAUAAUGACGCUUUUCCUCCGCUUACAGUUUACAGUAGCGCUCGCCGACGCCUCUCAGUCAAUGACUUACCAUUUAUGUAUACAUAGGUGCCUAUAUACCCACAGUACAUAUGGAACGGGGCUGGCUGGCUUUGAGAUACGUCUGGUUCUAUGUGGCACCUCCUCCAAUCGAACAAAGCGCAUUCCAGAUCACUGGACGGACGCACUUCCUCAAACGGUUAUCUCGAUCGUUAAAUGAUCAACACAGAAAUGUAUUCGAUUUUAUUAUAUUUUUUAUUUUAACACAAUUGUUGUGUGUUUGUGUGGCUCUUUCGUUUGUUGUAAAUUAUACAAUUAAUUAAUAUGUACUAUAUAUAAAUAAAGUAUCUCAACUUUUCUAUGAUUGGUUCGCCUUGGCAUGUAAAAAAUGUCCCCUUACAGCUUAAUUGAGUCUUAGUGUCUACGGGAAAAGACUUACAAAAAUACAUAUCGCAUUGAUUUAUUGAACAUUUUCACUUACACAUAUGUCUCUAUAUUUAUAUUUAUAUAUAUUAUAUCCGCUCUUAUAUAACAUGGAUAUAGAUGCACGCGUGUUUCGUUCGCAAUUACAGGAAGAGUUUGCGCCUCCCUCGAUUCGAUAACUUUAAAUUAGGUUAAACUAGUUUAUACAUGUACUAGAAGACAACCCUAAGAACUUAUACAAUUAUUGAUAGGGUUUGCAGC